CGACCGGAUGCGGAUCUCGAAAGCCUGUCCCAGUUCGGACUGGAGUCUGCAACCCGACUCCACGAAGUUGGAUUCGCUAGUAAUCGCGCAUCAGCCAUGGCGCGGUGAAUACGUUCCCGGGCCUUGUACACACCGCCCGUCAAGCCAUGGGAGCCGGGGGCGCCUGAAGUCCGGGACCGCGAGGACCGGCCUAGGGCGAAACUGGUAACUGGGGCUAAGUCGUAACAAGGUAGC
rnacentral:rRNA from 1 species